UGAGGAGAGAACAAAGUGGUGGAGAGGAGAGCGAGCGCCCGUGAGAGCUUCGGUGCAAACGGUUUUUUUUAUUGGUCAGGGCCAGGGUCGCAUCUCGCUUGGCGGGAAACCUGCCUGUACUGUUAAUUCAUGUCUAGCCGCAACUAGCGGCGAGUUCAAAGAGGACUGUCAUUGCCAUUCUGUCAUUUUAUGGGAACCGUGUGAUAUUAUCUUUGUUGUGAAACAAAAGAAAAACAAAUAAAACAUUUUAUAACAGACAAACAAACAAGUUAGAUCUAGUCCAAAUACGAAAUCAGACAACGGUGUUAAUGUUUUGGGGAAAAAAUUCUCAAGGCUGACUUAGUUUCAGGGACGUAAUUUAACUGAAGUGUACACGCCUACAUACUUUGAGUAACCCUGUGUGUCAUUAUUAUUAAACCUGUGACUAUUUUUUUGUGACAUGUUUCUUUAUAGUUAAUUGUAAACUUAUUGCAAGGUGUUUGUAUAUAUAUACAUACAUAUAUAAGGCAAAAUAUAUUGUGCGGAUUUAAGUGUGACUAUUGGUUUUAAAAAAAAACGCACACAAAAAACAACAACCAACAAACCUAGCAACAAAAACGUUUGCAGCCACUUCACCCCCCCCCUCCUCCCCCACUCCUCCUCGGCGCAUUUCUGAUUCUGACUUCAUUUUGAGUUCAAAGGACGUCGAUUUAUCGGAUCAUCUUACUCAGGGUCCAGUUCCUACGUAUUUCAUGUAUCGGAGUUCAAAGGUUUACCUUACAAUCCAUGAGCCAUUCCGGGAAGUAGACGGACGAUUUCCAUUCCAGAGCCGAAGGAAUCGGCAAGGCGACUAAAAGGGAUGAUCCAGAGACGAAAA